rnacentral:rRNA from 1 species
UACGAAGGGUGCAAGCGUUCAUCGGAAUUACCGGGCGUAAAGGGUGCGUAGGCGGUUGUUUAAGUCUGUCGUGAAAUCCCCGGGCUCAACCUGGGAAUGGCGAUGGAUACUGGACAGCUAGAGUGUGUCAGAGGAUGGUGGAAUUCCCGGUGUAGCGGUGAAAUGCGUAGAGAUCGGGAGGAACAUCAGUGGCGAAGGCGGCCAUCUGGGACAACACUGACGCUGAAGCACGAAAGCGUGGGGAGCAAACAGG